GCUUGCUGGGUGGUUAGUGGCGAACGGGUGAGUAACACGUGAGUAACCUGCCCUUGACUCUGGGAUAAGCACUGGAAACGGUGUCUAAUACCGGAUAUUUCAACUGGCCGCAUGGUCUGGUUGUGGAAAGAAUUUUGGUCAAGGAUGGACUCGCGGCCUAUCAGGUAGUUGGUGAGGUAAUGGCUCACCAAGCCUACGACGGGUAGCCGGCCUGAGAGGGUGACCGGCCACACUGGGACUGAGACACGGCCCAGACUCCUACGGGAGGCAGCAGUGGGGAAUAUUGCACAAUGGGCGAAAGCCUGAUGCAGCAACGCCGCGUGAGGGACGACGGCCUUCGGGUUGUAAACCUCUUUUAGUAGGGAAGAAGCGAAAGUGACGGUACCUGCAGAAAAAGCACCGGCUAACUACGUGCCAGCAGCCGCGGUAAUACGUAGGGUGCAAGCGUUGUCCGGAAUUAUUGGGCGUAAAGAGCUCGUAGGCGGUUUGUCGCGUCUGCUGUGAAAACUGGAGGCUCAACCUCCAGCCUGCAGUGGGUACGGGCAGACUAGAGUGCGGUAGGGGAGAUUGGAAUUCCUGGUGUAGCGGUGGAAUGCGCAGAUAUCAGGAGGAACACCGAUGGCGAAGGCAGAUCUCUGGGCCGUAACUGACGCUGAGGAGCGAAAGCAUGGGGAGCGAACAGGAUUAGAUACCCUGGUAGUCCAUGCCGUAAACGUUGGGAACUAGAUGUGGGGGCCAUUCCACGGUCUCCGUGUCGCAGCUAACGCAUUAAGUUCCCCGCCUGGGGAGUACGGCCGCAAGGCUAAAACUCAAGGAAUUGACGGGGGCCCGCACAAGCGGCGGAGCAUGCGGAUUAAUUCGAUGCAACGCGAAGAACCUUACCAAGGCUUGACAUAUACGAGAACGGGCCAGAAAUGGUCAACUCUUUGGACACUCGUAAACAGGUG
rnacentral:rRNA from 1 species